AGUGAACGCUGGCGGUAGGCCUAACACAUGCAAGUCGAACGGCAGCACAGUAAGAGCUUGCUCUUACGGGUGGCGAGUGGCGGACGGGUGAGGAAUACAUCGGAAUCUACUUUUUCGUGGGGGAUGACGUAGGGAAACUUACGCUAAUACCGCAUACGACCUACGGGUGAAAGCAGGGGAUCUUCGGACCUUGCGCGAUUGAAUGAGCCGAUGUCGGAUUAGCUAGUUGGCGGGGUAAAGGCCCACCAAGGCGACGAUCCGUAGCUGGUCUGAGAGGAUGAUCAGCCACACUGGAACUGAGACACGGUCCAGACUCCUACGGGAGGCAGCGGUGGGGAAUAUUGGACAAUGGGCGCAAGCCUGAUCCAGCCAUACCGCGUGGGUGAAGAAGGCCUUCGGGUUGUAAAGCCCUUUUGUUGGGAAAGAAAAGCAGCAGGUUAAUACCCCGCUGUUCUGACGGUACCCAAAGAAUAAGCACCGGCUAACUUCGUG
rnacentral:rRNA from 1 species